GCAGUCGCCACGGGAAUACAGAGGGUGCGAGCGUUAAUCGGAUUUACUGGGCGUAAAGCGUGCGUAGGCGGCUUCUUAAGUCGGAUGUGAAAUCCCUGAGCUUAACUUAGGAAUUGCAUUCGAUACUGGGAAGCUAGAGUAUGGGAGAGGAUGGUAGAAUUCCAGGUGUAGCGGUGAAAUGCGUAGAGAUCUGGAGGAAUACCGAUGGCGAAGGCAGCCAUCUGGCCUAAUACUGACGCUGAGGUACGAAAGCAUGGGGAGCAAACAGGAUUAGAUACCCCCGUAGUCCCUGUCUCUUAUAC
rnacentral:rRNA from 1 species